AUUGAACGCUGGCGGCAGGCCUAACACAUGCAAGUCGAACGAGUGGCGGACGGGUGAGUAAUGUCUGGGAAACUGCCUGAUGGAGGGGGAUACCUACUGGAAACGGUAGCUAAUCCCGCAUACCAUCAGAUGUGCCCAGAUGGGAUUAGCUAGUAGGUGGGGUAACGGCUCACCUAGGCGACGAUCCCUAGCUGGUCUGAGAGGAUGACCAGCGACCCUGGAACUUAGACACGGGCCAGACUCCGACGGGAGGCAGAAGUGGGGAAUAUUGCACAAUGGGCGCAAGCCUGAUGCAGCCAUGCCGCGUGUGUGAAGAAGGCCUUCGGGUUGUAAAGCACUUUCAGCGGGGAGGCGUUACCCGCAGAAGAAGCACCGGCUAACUCCGUGCCAGCAGCCGCGGUAAUUC
rnacentral:rRNA from 1 species